UAACUUAAGCAACCGGGACAUUGAGAUCUCGGAUAUCGUCACACACCCAUCUCUUGCUCUCCGUGCCGGUAACCAUAAAAUCCAGGAGCUGAGUCACACGUGCUGUGAAUGAGGAUCACACCAGUACCUGCCGCACAGGGCUGCUAAGAGGACCACACACGCGAAAAUCGGGAAAGCGCACGGCACGGUACAUGGCACUUAGCACAGUGUCCCUCUUAUGAACUUGUCGGAAAUAGCAAGGCUAGUCAGAGGGCAUAAAACAUAGAGAAAAGAAGUAUCAUGAAGCCACUGAAAGAAUUCUCAGGGACACUGAGAACUCCUCCCUGUUCCCAAAGAACUGCUGUGGCUCCGAGCUCUGCCUUGCGUUCUCCCGGUCUGAUAAGCGUGGGGUGUGCAUCAGCAGGACACACACCUGAAAGACAAGGUUUGGUCACCUCUGUCUGCUGAGCUGUGGUUGUGUUCCCACCGCUACUCGUCAGCUCAUUCGGCAAGAAGCUCGGUGGAGUCUGGGCUUCGAGUGAUGAGGUCGGUCUCCCCAAACCCCCAUUCUCAUUUACUGCCACUGCUCAGAGAAGAUGGCCAUAAAACCUCAGGCUGUCCCCCUGAACUCGACUUGGCUCUUGAACUGAAAGGCCUAGAACAGAGGGAGGCAGGAGCAUCAGUGGAGCCAAGCCCUCGAGACCUCUUUCACUGGCUAGAGGAGGCAUCGCCUUGGACAGAACUCUGCAAGGCACGGUGAGGUCCCAGGUCCCUUUCUGGUUCCUUCCAUCACAGACUCUGCCAGUGAAUCAAGUUCCUAGGGAAGGUUUUGAGGGCCUAUGGGAUUUUCAUCUGUCCCGUUCCAUCUGUCCUGUUCAUCCGUUCCCGUUCCCCAGUGCUCAGAACAGCAGCACGUCCCUGCGAAUGAAUGAAUGCCCACCAUAUUCGGAGGGCUCUAGCCUCUGCAUCUUCCCGAGACAAACCGAAGCCAUCGGCCUCGCGGAUUCCACGGUCAUUCACUGAACAAACCAGCUGUGUGGGAUCCUCCCGCCAUUGCUCUGCUUUCCAUCCCCCCACCUGUCACCUUAGCUGGUAGGUGUCCCCUCUGGGUCUCUGACAGCUUCCCUUUGGAAAGGCCUGCCCUAUUCUCUCCUCUUGGAGGAAGAGAGGGUCACUCGCUGCAGAGCACUGAGCAAGAAGGUCAGCUCAUGCCGAGAAUACAACUUGCUCCUUUUGGACUUAGCCUGCCAGAAGCGGAAAUGUUAGAGCUAGAAGCACCUCUGGAAAUCACUCUCAUGGAAGACACGCAGAAACCAAGCUCACGGAGCUGGCCGCAGGGACAGCGGGAGACUGGGCCUCUAUGCAGAAGCUCGCUGUAUGGCCCUUUCCCUCGGGCCCCCCCUCUACCUUGUGUAGGUAAGGAAGUUUUGGAAAGCGCCUAUAAAUCCUGCAUUCUCUGUCUACGUAUUAAAAACAUGAAAUAUUCCCACUGUA